GCUCGCGGAGACCGAGCAGGACACGGCGCGAGAGCGGAGGCGCGCGCUCUCGGAGAGAGAGGACAAGAUAGCCAACCAAUCCCAAGAUCUGGCUAGGAUCUACCUGACCUACUGCUGAGUGCAGAUGCACGAGCAAGACCAGCUAAAGUCACCAAAGUGUAGCCCAAGUAGGGAAGAAGGACCAAAUGGGAGAAGAUAAGGGUACAGAGAAAAGGACACAGCAUAGCAAGAAGAAAUGGAAUGAGAACUUUUGGUGCAGAUUGAGAGAGGAACUUCCUUUACAACAUUUAUUAACGAAGAAAGAAGAUAAUUCUGAACUCAUACCCACAAGAUGGACCUGGAAGGUGAUAAGAUGACAUGAAUUCAUUCAGAAACAGAAG
rnacentral:lncRNA from 1 species